rnacentral:rRNA from 1 species
UACAGAGACUGCAAGCGUUAUUCGGAUUCACUGGGCGUAAAGGGUGCGCAGGCGGCCAAGUGUGUGAGGCGUGAAAGCCUGGGGCUUAACUCCAGAAUUGCACCUCAAACUACAUGGCUAGAGCAUUGGAGAGGGUAGCAGAAUUCACGGUGUAGCAGUGAAGUGCGUAGAUAUCGUGAGGAAUACCAGAGGCGAAGGCGGCUACCUGGACAAUUGCUGACGCUCAGGCACGAAAGCGUGGGGAGCAAAAGGG